GAUACCAACAGCUGCUUCCAGUUGAUAGCAGAAAUCGAGAGGUUGAUAAAGAGGGGGCACCUAAAGAAUUUUGUGAAGAAAUCGGAGGGGUAGAGGCCUCAGCCCGGUCCGGCAGCUCAGACGCCGAGAAGAAUUGGAGGUGGUCCAGUGAAUGAUGGGUCCAGUGGGACCAUCAACAUGAUUGUUGGAGGAACGGGAGGACGGAUGAGCCGUCGAGGCAAGAAAAGAAACCGGGAAGGAGAGACCAGCAAUGCGGAAGUCAUGCAGAUCGUUGACCAUUCUCCCCUGACCAUCACCUUCUCCUCAGAAGAUGCUCAGGGCAUUCAAAUGCCCCAUGAUGACGCGCUUGUCAUUGAAGCCGUCAUUCAUAAUUAUCGGGUAAAGAAGGUUUUGGUAGACGACGGG
rnacentral:lncRNA from 1 species